UGGAAAGGGGAAAACCAGCUACAUCAUCUCUACUAGUCUUUUGUUUACUCCGGCCUGAAGAACAUCUCCUUUGUUUUGUUUUGUUUUUUUUUCUUCUUCAUCUGCACUUUCUUUCAUCACCAUGGACUAAUAGGUGUGAGCGCUUAAUGAGCCGAGGGGCUGAAUCACCGAGGCUGAAUCCAGUGGAAUAAUGCUGGUUUGCUUUGAAGCUGAAAUAGCCCUGGGCAGAACCAGACUGACCGGACCCGGCUCACUAUGACUCCACAGUCUGUCUGCGAACCCCGAACCUUCACCCCUGACACCGGACAGACUGCUGACGUCAGCGUUCACAGGGAGGCGGGAGGUUGUUGGGUUUGACGUCGGGGGCUUUUGGCCGUCUGUCAUCGUCUGAAAGAGCAUCAGGUUCUCUGGCAGACUGUGCAGAACUCAGGGGCAUGGAAACCGCCCAAACACUCGCUCAUGCACACACUUGAAGAUCAGCCCAGCGUGAAUAAAAAGUGUGAUACAACCCAAACAAACACGCGUUAACCUGAACGCCGCCGCAGCAGCACCGAGCUCCUGCAGGAAAUUGCUGAGGGCACAGGAAACCCACAGUUGAACGUGGGUUCUCACGGUGUGUUAAAGAACCCUGACCGGGAGAACAGCACUCAGUGGUACCACAUCCAGAGGCGAAGCCAAGAGCAGGCCACGGCCAGCCAAGUGCAGGAGGUCGCUGGAGCCAUGGCAUCGGUUCAAAAGGUCUCCGGGGACUGAUAAAGUCCAUAAAAAAAAUCAAUCUGGCAGCAAAGGU